UCCCAGACUCCUCGGGAGGCAGCAGUGGGGAAUAUUGCACAAUGGGGGGAACCCUGAUGCAGCGACGCCGCGUGAGUGAAGAAGUAUUUCGGUAUGUAAAGCUCUAUCAGCAGGGAAGAAAAUGACGGUACCUGACUAAGAAGCCCCGGCUAACUACGUGCCAGCAGCCGCGGUAAUACGUAGGGGGCAAGCGUUAUCCGGAUUUACUGGGUGUAAAGGGAGCGCAGACGGCUGUGCAAGUCUGGAGUGAAAGGCGGGGGCCCAACCCCCGGACUGCUCUGGAAACUAUUUAACUUGAGUGCAGGAGAGGUAAGCGGAAUUCCUAGUGUAGCGGUGAAAUGCGUAGAUAUUAGGAGGAACACCAGUGGCGAAGGCGGCUUACUGGACUGUAACUGACGUUGAGGCUCGAAAGCGUGGGGAGCAAACAGGAUUAGAUACCCGCGUA
rnacentral:rRNA from 1 species